AUGGAAUAAAAAAUAAAUAAAAACAGAAAUCUACAGGAUUCAAAAGUCACUCGACUAUUAAGUAUGGAAGCAAAUCCACUACAAUAAUUAUCUGUAGUUUGUUGUUUACAGCUACACGGCUCAACUGCAUGAUGAUACUGCUUCCCAGAUCCCUGAAUCAAUCAUUCUUAUCAAUUCUGAUGAACUCCUAUAUCAAAAGAUAGGGGUGUGAAGUUCAUCUCAACAUGCAAGAAACCCAUUUACAGAGGCUGAAAGGCAGAACUGAAAUUCUGGGAAGUACUUCCUCCAAUCUGCAGUCAUGGUAAACGAAACAACGCUACGGAAGAGAGACAGAAAGAAAACGACGACAACAUCUGUGCUGCAGAGCCACCUAAAGGCCAUUGUGAUAAAGUGCCCGCCCCUGUGUAUAUUAUCUGUUAUA